GAUGAACGCUGGCGGCGUGCUUAACACAUGCAAGUCGAACGAUGAAGCCCAGCUUGCUGGGUGGAUUAGUGGCGAACGGGUGAGUAACACGUGAGUAACCUGCCCUUAACUCUGGGAUAAGCCUGGGAAACUGGGUCUAAUACCGGAUAGGAGCGUCUACCGCAUGGUGGGUGUUGGAAAGAUUUAUCGGUUUUGGAUGGACUCGCGGCCUAUCAGCUUGUUGGUGAGGUAAUGGCUCACCAAGGCGACGCCGGGUAGCCGGCCUGAGAGGGUGACCGGCCACACUGGGACUGAGACACGGCCCAGACUCCUACGGGAGGCAGCAGUGGGGAAUAUUGCACAAUGGGCGCAAGCCUGAUGCAGCGACGCCGCGUGAGGGAUGACGGCCUUCGGGUUGUAAACCUCUUUCAGUAGGGAAGAAGCGAAAGUGACGGUACCUGCAGAAGAAGCACCGGCUAACUACGUG
rnacentral:rRNA from 1 species